UGUCCUAAGGAUAGCUCCACCAGCGAAUUGGAGAAUCUGGUGGGACGACAUGAAUCAAUUUGGAUGGGAGGCAACCCUGACUGAGCAACUCUACAGAUUCAUUUAGGAAUGGACCCACAGAAGGCCCUUCUCCAAGCAGGCAGGCAAAGCCAUACAACACGUGCACUCCGGCCUGAAUGACCAAUGGACUCUACUCGGGAGCUGGAUAUGGAUUAGAUGGUCUUCCCUGGUGCACAUCACCUUAUGCAUUUCACACGGUGUUGUAGCACAUCCCUUUUACCGUCUCUGGCCAAUACUUCUCAGCCCCAAAUGCCACAAAUAUUUGACCCCAAGUUUCGUUGCCCUUACUAGAUUUCUUUCCUCACACCAUUCGCCAUAGGAACUUAAAAGUGCGUUCCCAUCAAGCGAGGAGGUCCCAAGACGAGCAAGUUUGAAAUCUUAUCAACCUCGGGUGAUCUACAUCUGCAAUACCUUGAGGUCAGUGGGAUUCCUUAUCCCACCGAAGUAAAGCUCGAACAAGGAAAAGUAAUUACGUGGUAAUUCCUGCAACAGAAGCAGGUGCCCUGUGCCUUGAAAUCCCCUGCUGUAGUUGGCUGUGAAACAGAUACAUGAGUGCUGGUUUAAACACUGCGGCUAUUCCUUCACACGAUGGUUAAAUGCUUUAAUUGUAAUCUUGUUUUACAAAGGUCGACCUAUGUGAUAAAUUUCCAAGUUUAAUUAAACCCUAAAACAAAAC